UUGUGCUCAUGGGAUCAUCCA
rnacentral:misc_RNA from 1 species